AGAGUUUGAAUCCUGGCUCAGGAUGAACGCUAGCGGCAGGCUUAACACAUGCAAGUCGAGGGGUAACAGGGAUUGCUUGCAAUCCGCUGACGACCGGCGCACGGGUGCGUAACGCGUAUGCAACCUACCUUCUACAGGGGGAUAGUCAAUAGAAAUGUUGAAUAAUACCCCAUACGAUCUUUGAAUAGCAUUAUUUAAAGAAGAAAGCUCCGGCGGUAGAAGAUGGGCAUGCGUCCUAUUAGUUAGUUGGUAAGGUAACGGCUUACCAAGACUUCGAUAGGUAGGGGUCCUGAGAGGGAGACCCCCCACACUGGUACUGAGACACGGACCAGACUCCUACGGGAGGCAGCAGUGAGGAAUAUUGGACAAUGGAGGCAACUCUGAUCCAGCCAUGCCGCGUGCAGGAAGACUGCCCUAUGGGUUGUAAACUGCUUUUAUACAGGAAGAAAUAUACCUACGUGUAGGUAUUUGACGGUACUGUACGAAUAAGGAUCGGCUAACUCCGUGCCAGCAGCCGCGGUAAUACGGAGGAUCCAAGCGUUAUCCGGAAUCAUUGGGUUUAAAGGGUCCGUAGGCGGUCUUUUAAGUCAGAGGUGAAAUCCUACAGCUCAACUGUAGAAUUGCCUUUGAUACUGAAAGACUUGAGUUAUUGUGAAGUAGUUAGAAUGUGUGGUGUAGCGGUGAAAUGCAUAAAGAUCACACAGAAUACCGAUUGCGAAGGCAGAUUACUAACAAUAUACUGACGC
rnacentral:rRNA from 1 species